rnacentral:rRNA from 1 species
GAUGAACGCUGGCGGCGUGCCUAAUACAUGCAAGUCGAGCGAACGGACGAGAAGCUUGCUUUUCUGAUGUUAGCGGCGGACGGGUGAGUAACACGUGGAUAACCUACCUAUAAGACUGGGAUAACUUCGGGAAACCGGAGCUAAUACCGGAUAAUAUUUUGAACCGCUUGGUUCAAAAGUGAAAGACGGUCUUGCUGUCACUUAUAGAUGGAUCCGCGCUGCAUUAGCUAGUUGGUAAGGUAACGGCUUACCAAGGCAACGAUGCAUAGCCGACCUGAGAGGGUGAUCGGCCACACUGGAACUGAGACACGGUCCAGACUCCUACGGGAGGCAGCAGUAGGGAAUCUUCCGCAAUGGGCGAAGGCCUGACGGAGCAACGCCGCGUGAGUGAUGAAGGUCUUCGGAUCGUAAAACUCUGUUAUUAGGGAAGAACAUAUGUGGAAGUAACUGUGCACAUCUUGACGGUACCUAAUCAGAAAGCCACGGCUAACUACGUG